GAAUGUGAGGGUGAUCAACAUCCGUCACCCUGUUGAUCACCAGCAUUGCUUAGGCUGAUCUGGCUGACGAGGCCUUCUUCCCUCACCACUCCAUGUGCAUCUCUUUGGAGCCUGGAUGAAGAGGAUGGGCUUCCCCAAUAGAGGAGGACUGUUUUUUGGUCAAGGGUAUUCUAACAUCUGUGUUGCCCUGUUAGAACCCCCAAACAAACUGAUAACUUGAAUUAUCUUUGAUCUAACAGUGACUACCACUUUUAGGUCACCAACCUAGACACCCUUUCUAAGUUCCAAAGCUAUGU
rnacentral:snRNA from 1 species